rnacentral:rRNA from 1 species
ACGGAAGGCAGCAGUGGGGAAUAUUGGUCAAUGGGCGGAAGCCUGAACCAGCCAAGUCGCGUGAAGGAAGAAGGUAUUAUGUAUUGUAAACUUCUUUAGCAGCAGAGAAAUAAGGUGGACGUGUCCACUGAUGCUAGUAUGCUGAGAAUAAGCAUCGGCUAACUCCGUGCCAGCAGCCGCGGUAAUACGGAGGAUGCGAGCGUUAUCCGGAUUUAUUGGGUUUAAAGGGUGCGCAGGCGGUCUUUUAAGUCUGUGGUCAAAUUGUGGUGCUCAACGCCAUCCCGCCAUUGAUACUGGGAGACUUGAUUGCGGUUGAGGUAGGCGGAAUUCGUCGUGUAGCGGUGAAAUGCAUAGAUAUGACGAAGAACACCGAUUGCGUAGGCAGCUUACCAAGCCGUAAAUGACGCUCAUGCACGAAAGUGCGGGGAUCGAACAGGAUUAGAUACCCUGGUA